rnacentral:tRNA from 1 species
GGAGGGUUAGCGUAAUUGGUAACGCACCGGUCUUGAAAACCGGCGCCUACGGGCUUAUGGGUUCGAGUCCCAUACCCUCCGCCA